GGAGGAAGUAAUUCCUGAGAGAUGGAGGGAGAAGCCGGGGCCCAGGGCCUGGGGGAGGAAAGAGGAUGUGCCUGGGGGAGGGAGGGGCGGGAGGCACACGGAAGGGAGGGUGCGAAGAGAAACUUCCUUCCUAGUUUGCCCAGCUGCAGCCGCCUGAAGGCAAAUUCCAGGGGGAAGAGAGCCUCACGUUGCCUCAAGCCUGAAUUGGACAGAAUUCUGCAAGGGGCUCCCAAGUUCGGGUCACAUCCACGUUGGCGGAUCCCGGCUGAAACCCCAGCCCGUGCCCACUGCUGACUUCUGGUCCCGCUGGAGUGAAUAAAGGCUUUGUUUGUAUGCA
rnacentral:lncRNA from 1 species